GAUCAUGGCUCAGGAUGAACGCUAGCUACAGGCUUAACACAUGCAAGUCGAGGGGCAGCAUGAACUUAGCUUGCUAAGUUUGAUGGCGACCGGCGCACGGGUGAGUAACACGUAUCCAACCUUCCGUUUACUCAGGGAUAGCCUUUCGAAAGAAAGAAUUAAUACCUGAUAGUAUGGUGAGAUUGCAUGAUAACACCAUUAAAGAAUUAUUGGUUAAACGGAAUGGGAGUGCGUUCCU
rnacentral:rRNA from 1 species